rnacentral:lncRNA from 1 species
AUAAACUCAAUUAGCUUAUUCCUGGCUAGCCUACCAUCCAUUUGAAGGACCAUGUCCUUCCAUGCUUGAGCAGCUAAAGCACUCACCAAUCUUAUCAUUCCUAGUUCCACCAUGUCUUCCAACAGUCUAUCAUUUAAAUUCUUCUUUUGCCAAAAAUGGCAAGCUUAUCCUAUUCCUUCUCAGAAUCAACUUCUUCUUCUCCACUCCAGUCAUCAUCUUCAAUUUUUUGCUUGUUUGUUUUUUGCUGUAGAUCUUGUCCUCUUGGCUAGUGUAGGUUCAACAGCCUCAAACACAAAGGAAAACUUCUUGGAGGAAGUCUUGGGCUUUUUG